GGGGAUUUUUGAAGAGCAGAAGUGUGAUUUUCACGUUAAAUGGGGGAUUUUCCACGAGAAAAUGUGUGAAUUUGUGGAUAAUGGGGUAUUUUUGAAGAGAUAAUGCAUGAUUUUGGGGUAAAUGUGGGAUUUUCCAAGAGAAACGUUAAGAUUUUCGGGUAGAAUGGGGGACUUUGCAAGAGAAAUUGUGUGAUUUUGGGAUAAAGGGGGAUUUUGCAAGAGAAAUGUGUGAUUUUUGUUUAAAUGGGGUAUUUUUGAAGAGAUAAUGCAUGAUUUUGGGGUAAAUGCGGGAUUUUCCAAGAGAAAAGGCGAGAUUUUGGGGUUGAAUGGGGGACUUUGCAAGAGAAAUUGUGCGAUUUUGGGGAUAAAAGGGGGAUUUUUGAAGAGAAAAUGUGUGAUUUUGGGGAUGAAUCAGGGAUUCUCAAAGAGAAAAUGCCUCAUUUUCGGGUUAAAUGGGGGACUUUGGAAGAGAAAUUGCAUUUUCUUCUUGUCAAAUGGGGGAUUUUCGAAGAGCAACUGCAUGAUUUUCGUUUACAUGUGAGAUUUUUGUAGAGGAAAUGCGUGAUUUUUUGGAAACAUGGGGGACUCUUGUAGCAAAAAAGUUUGAUUUUGGGGUCAAACGGGGGAUUUUUGAAGAGCAGAAGUGUGAUUUUCACGUUAAAUGGGGGAUUUUCCACAGAAAAUGUUGUGAUUUGGGGGAUAAUGAGGUAUUUUUGAAGAGAUAAUGCAUGAUUUUGGGGUAAAUGCAGGAUUUUCCAAGAGAAAUGGCGAGAUUUUCGGGUUGAAUGGGGGACUUUGCAAGAGAAAUUGUGUGAUUUUGGGGAUAAAAGGGGGAUUUUGAAGAGAAAAUGUGUGAUUUUUGUUUAAAUGGGGUAUUUUUGAAGAGAUAAUGCAUGAUUUUGGGGUUAAAUGGGGGAUUGUUGAAGAGACAGUGCAUGAUUUUCGGGUUAAGGGGUGAUUCUAGCAGAGAAAACGCGUGAUUUUCGGGGUUAAACAGCUAUUUUUGAAGAGAAUGUGCGUGAUUUUCAGUUUAAAUCAGGGAUUCUCAUAGAGAAAAUGUGUGAGUUUUGUUUAAAGGGGGUAUUUUUGAAGGGAAAAUGUGUGAUUUUCGCGUUAAAUGGGGGAAUUUCGAAGAGAAAAUAAUUCAUUUUGGGUUAAAUUGGGGGUUUUCAAAGCCAAAAUGCGUGAUUUUCACUUAAAUGGGGGAUUUUCCAAGCGAAAAUGCAUGAUUUUCUUUUUAGAUGGGGGAUUUUCAUAGAGAACAGGCAUGAUUUUUGUGUUAAGUGGGGGAUAUUUGCAAAGAAAAGGCGUGAUUUUUGGGUUAAAUUGGGGCUUUUUCAAGAGAAAAUGUGUGAUUUUCAGUUAAAUUGCGGAAUCUCUAAGAGAAAAUGCCUGAUGUUUGCAUUAAACGUGUGAUUUUCGU
ensembl:lncRNA